UACGUAGGGCGCAAGCGUUAUCCGGAAUUAUUGGGCGUAAAGAGCUCGUAGGCGGCUUGUCGCGUCGACCGUGAAAACUUGGGGCUCAACCCCAAGCCUGCGGUCGAUACGGGCAGGCUAGAGUUCGGUAGGGGAGACUGGAAUUCCUGGUGUAGCGGUGAAAUGCGCAGAUAUCAGGAGGAACACCGGUGGCGAAGGCGGGUCUCUGGGCCGAUACUGACGCUGAGGAGCGAAAGCGUGGGGAGCGAACAGG
rnacentral:rRNA from 1 species